AGAGUUUGAUCCUGGCUCAGAACGAACGCUGGCGGCAGGCCUAACACAUGCAAGUCGAGCGCCCGCAAGGGAGCGGCGGACGGGUGAGUAACGCGUGGGAACGUGCCUUCCUCUUCGGAAUAGCCCUGGGAAACUGGGGGUAAUACCGGAUACGGCCCCCAGUCUUGGAGAUCGGGGGCGAAAGAUUUAUCGGGGGAAGAUCGGCCCGCGCUGGAUUAGGUAGUUGGUGGGGUAAUGGCCUACCAAGCCGACGAUCCAUAGCUGGUUUGAGAGGAUGAUCAGCCACACUGGGACUGAGACACGGCCCAGACUCCUACGGGAGGCAGCAGUGGGGAAUCUUAGACAAUGGGCGCAAGCCUGAUCUAGCCAUGCCGCGUGAGCGAUGAAGGCCUUAGGGUUGUAAAGCUCUUUCGUGGGGGAAGAUAAUGACUGUACCCCAAGAAGAAGCCCCGGCUAACUCCGUGCCAGCAGCCGCGGUAAUAC
rnacentral:rRNA from 1 species